UCCCGGCUCGUCUAAUGGUAGGACAGCAGACUCUGGAUCUGCCUGUAGAGGUUCGAAUCCUUUGCCGGGAG
rnacentral:tRNA from 1 species